rnacentral:rRNA from 1 species
UACGUAGGUGGCAAGCGUUAUCCGGAAUUAUUGGGCGUAAAGGGUGCGUAGGCGGUUUACUAAGUCUUAUGUGAAAUCUCAGAGCUUAACUCUGGGCUGCAUAAGAAACUAUUAGACUAGAGUGCAGGAGAGGGCAACGGAAUUCCAUGUGUAGCGGUAAAAUGCGUAGAUAUAUGGAGGAACACCGGUGGCGAAGGCGGUUGCCUGGCCUGUUACUGACGCUGAAGCACGAAAGCGUGGGGAGCAAAUAGG